GCCGGGUGUAGUGGUGUGCGCCUGUAAUCCCAGCUACUCAGGAAGCUGAGGCAGAAGAAUCGCAUGAACCUGGGAGGCGGAGGUUGCAGUGAGCAAAGAUCGCGCCACUGCACUCCAGCCCAGGUGACAAUGUGAGACUCGGUCUCAA
ensembl:misc_RNA Metazoa_SRP Metazoan signal recognition particle RNA